rnacentral:rRNA from 1 species
AGAGUUUGAUUCUGGCUCAGAACGAACGCUGGCGGCGCGUUUAAGCAUGCAAGUCGAGCGGCAAGGGCCUUCGGGCCCCUAGAGCGGCGGACGGGUGAGUAACACGUGGACAAUCCUGCCCCCCGGCCCGGGAUAGCCCAGGGAAACCUGGAUUAAUACCGGAUGAGACGGGACCCGCGAUGGCGGGAUCCGGGAAAGGCGCUGCGGCGCCGCCGGGGGAUGAGUCUGCGUCCCAUUAGCUAGACGGCGGGGUAACGGCCCACCGUGGCGACGAUGGGUAGCCGGCCUGAGAGGGUGACGGCCACAUUGGAACUGAGACACGGUCCAGACUCCUACGGGAGGCAGCAGCUAAGAAUCUUCCGCAAUGGGCGAAAGCCUGACGGAGCCGACGCCGCGUGAACGAAGAGGGCCGUGAGGUUGUAAAGUUCUUUUCGGGAGGGGAACAACCGUGGCAGGGAAUGGCCGCGGGAUGACGUGAAUCCCGGAAUAAGCCCCGGCUAACUACGUGCCAGCAGCCGC